AAAUUACAAUGAAGAAUCAUUUUCAAUUAGUAACCCUUGCACAAGUAACUUGAGCUAAAGCAAGUGAAACAAAGUGCAUACUUCAAGUGUCUAACAAAGUGCAAAAUUAGUACUAAUUUGUUGAGUCAAGCAAAGUGUUGAAUACAACUAACUUUGCAGGGUCAACUUUAAUUCAAGAUGAAAAGGGUUCAUAAAAUAGAGCACUAAAUGAGUACGCAUGCCUUUUUAAUGAAAGAGAUGUAAGCAGGGUUAAAGUAACAGGAAGCUUAUUGAUAAAGAAGCCAACUGUGUCGCAAGACCUGUUCUAUAGUUUAGUUUCUGCCCGUAAAACGAAACAUCCAUCAACAGAAUAAAGUCUGGACAUUAGAUACCAUAGGCAGGAAAUUAUUUAAAAGAAAACUUGUAAAACGAAACAAAAAAAACUGCAAGAAAUUGUUCUAGAUGCAAUCUCAGCCGAAAGAUGGUGAUAUUUUUAUACUAAUCACUGUUCAAUCAGGAAUUUUGGAAAUAAAUCAUCAUUGACUGCAUCAGCAUCUAGGAAACACUUUAAGAACUUAAACCAAACCACAAAACACUAUAAAGAGGAAAAAGGAACAACUGCAAACCUUAGAGGAGAGAUAUGAUUAUAAGAUCAGAUGGUAGUGCAUGAUUUAGAAUUCAUCAUUGAACUCUACAGAUAAGGUGGAUAAGCAUCAUCACACCUUAAUAUGCAUAUCUUCUACAAACAAGCUUAGAAUCAAAUGAAAAAAGCUAAAACCAAACAAAUAUAAGAUACUAACAUUAUUGUUUAGGAAGAAUCAGAUAUGAUGUGUCAAUCACCACCUUGCAAAUCCAAUAUUUUGGAUGCAACUUAAGACUGGGGCGACAAUAACAAUCAUCAUUUUCCCUUUCCAACACAAAAAAAAAGAUACCAACAAAAAUAACCCUAACGAACAAGGUCAUACUAAUGACCACAUAAAAGAUGAGUUUUUUCAUUAUUACUGAAUAAGAGUCAGAUCAAGCUAAAACUAAAAAGAGUUAUUUACAAUACAGAAAAAUAAUACAUAUAUGAGAUUUUCUUACGCCUCAAAAUAAUACAUAUAGAGAUGUAAGCAGGGUUAAAGUAACAGGAAGCUUAUUGAUAAAGAAGCCAACUGUGUCGCAAGACCUGUUCUAUAGUUUAGUUUCUGCCCGUAAAACGAAACAUCCAGCAACAGAAUAAAGUAUGGACAUUAGAUAACAUAGGCAAUAAAAUAUUUAAAGUAAAAUUGAAGGAAAACGUAGGGAAAACAUACUGCAAGAAUUGUUCUAGAUGCAAUCUCAGCCGAAAGAUGGUGAUAUUUUUACAUUAAUCACUAGUCAAUCAGCAAUUUUGGAAAUAAUUCAUCAUUGAUUGCAUCAGAAUCUAAAAUCAAACCACAAAACAAUACAAAAAUGAAAAAGGAAAAACUGCAAAUAUUAAAGGAGAGACAUGAUUAUAAGAUCAGAUGGUAGUGCAUGUUUUAGAAUUCAUCAUUGAAAUCUACAGAUUAGGUGGAUAAGCAUCAUCACACCUUAAUAUGCAUAUCUUCCACAAACAAGCUUAGAAUCAAAUGAAAAAGGCCAAAACAAAACAAAUGUAAGACACGAACAUUAUUGUUUAGGAUGAAUCAGACAGGAUGUGACAAUCACCACCUUGCAAAUCCAAUAUUUUGGAUGCAACUUCAGACUGGGGCGACAAUAACAAUCAUCAUUUUCCCUUUCCGACUCAAAAAAAAAA